UACGGGGGGGGCAAGCGUUGUUCGGAAUUACUGGGCGUAAAGGGCUCGUAGGUGGCCAACUAAGUCGGACGUGAAAUCCCUCGGCUUAACCGGGGAACUGCGUCUGAUACUGGAUGGCUUGAGUUUGGGAGAGGGACGCGGAAUUCCAGGUGUAGCGGUGAAAUGCGUAGAUAUCUGGAGGAACACCGGUGGCGAAGGCGGCGUCCUGGACCAAUACUGACACUGAAACGCGAAAGCCAGGGGAGCAAACGGG
rnacentral:rRNA from 1 species